AAAUGAUAUACAAUAUAAUAAUACUUGCUGAAGAAAUGAUAGAGAACAAUAAUCUUCACAGUGGCCUAAUCAUAUAUUCUGAAAAAAAGCUUUGAAUGAUUGAAUGUUAGACGACGAGAGUAUUAGAAGGAGCACAAAUUUGUUAACAGUGAAUAUUUAUACUCGUAAGAAAUGACAUUUGAAAAAUAUAUAUAUAUAUGUAGUAAUCAUGGUAUAAUAUACACCCAAGCAUAUAUAUCUUUGUAUAGAAGUACAGCAAGAAUUGACAUCACGUUCAUUUUAAGCCGUCCAAACUACAGAGUAUACUAGAAACAGGAAAUAAAAUAAUAUCUAAUUAGAUAUCGUUAAUAUUAUAUCGCUUUCGUAUGAAAUUAUUUAUUAUGAUUGUUAAAUGAUAUCACAAAGUGAUAUACUAACGAGAUUCUAGGAAGAAGUAUUCACUGAAUGGUUUCAAAAUUAAUAUGACAAUUUGAUAAAUGAAUUAAUUAGUUUACUUAAACGUUUCGCACACUGGUCUUUGUAUUAUUAAACAUUUUACUAUUCCAUGAAUAUUUUUGCCUGAUAUUUUAGACUACUAAGUAUGAAGUGUUCGAAUUUUUUACAGUAAUUCGGACAAUUUAUACGUAAUAACAUUAUCUAUAUAUAUAUAUAUAUAUAUAUAUAUAUAUAUGUACACACAAGAGUUUAGUGUUCCUCUUUGACAUUUCAUUGAAGUUUUAAGAAGUAUUGUGUUGAGAGAAAUAUAUUAGAACAAUUAUAAAUAAUAGAAUUAUAUAAAAUAUAAUAGUUUAAAGAGUAUAUUUUUACCAAUAUAUUGAAAUAAACAACAAAUUACUUGAAAUGUAUUAAUCAUAAUGUUGGUACACGAAUAUACUUAGAAAAGAAAAAAAAAAAAAAAAAGAAAAAAACAAGAAAAU